rnacentral:rRNA from 1 species
UAGGGAAUCUUCCGCAAUGGACGAAAGUCUGACGGAGCAACGCCGCGUGAGUGAAGAAGGAUUUCGGUUCGUAAAACUCUGUUGUUAGGGAAGAAAAAAUGUAUAGUAACUAUAUACAAAAGAGACGGUACCUAACCAGAAAGCCACGGCUAACUACGUGCCAGCAGCCGCGGUAAUACGUAGGUGGCAAGCGGUGUCCGGAAUUAUUGGGCGUAAAGCGCGCGCAGGUGGUUUAGAAAGUCUGAUGUGAAAGCCCACGGCUCAACCGUGGAGGGUCAUUGGAAACUAAUAAACUUGAGUGCAGGAGAGAAAAGUGGAAUUCCUAGUGUAGCGGUGAAAUGCGUAGAGAUUAGGAGGAACACCGGUGGCGAAAGCGGCUUUUUGGCCUGCAACUGACACUGAGGCGCGAAAGCGUGGGGAGCAAACAGG